rnacentral:rRNA from 2 species
UACGGAGGGUGCAAGCGUUAUCCGGAUUCACUGGGUUUAAAGGGUGCGUAGGAGGGUGAGUAAGUCAGUGGUGAAAUCUUCGAGCUUAACUCGGAAACUGCCGUUGAUACUACUUGUCUUGAAUAUCGUGGAGGUGAGCGGAAUAUGUCAUGUAGCGGUGAAAUGCUUAGAUAUGACAUAGAACACCAAUUGCGAAGGCAGCUCGCUACACGAAUAUUGACUCUGAGGCACGAAAGCGUGGGGAUCAAACAGG